GGCUGUAGCUAGGUGAUAGAGUGCUUGCUUUGUAUGCACGAGGCCCUAGGUUCAAUUCCUAGUACUGUCA
rnacentral:tRNA from 1 species